rnacentral:misc_RNA from 1 species
CUGCGAGUUCGCGGGAGAGUAAGUUAUUGCCAGGGUUUUUGUUUUAUACUUUAAACAUUGAUUUUAUUUUUUAUAUUAUUUGAAUAAAACAUUCAAAAACAUAAAAAAUAAAAUAUAUAUUGACAUGGAUUAAACAAAGAUAUAUAUUAUUCUAUGUUGUAUAAACAAAUUGGCAAAAUAGAGAUGGAAGAUAAAA